AUUGAACGCUGGCGGCAUGCCUUACACAUGCAAGUCGAACGGUAAGGCCCUUCGGGGUACACGAGUGGCGAACGGGUGAGUAACACGUGGGUGAUCUGCCCUGCACUUCGGGAUAAGCCUGGGAAACUGGGUCUAAUACCGGAUAGGACUCCUGGCUUCAUGGUUGGGGGUGGAAAGCUUUUGCGGUGUGGGAUGGGCCCGCGGCCUAUCAGCUUGUUGGUGGGGUAAUGGCCUACCAAGGCGACGACGGGUAGCCGGCCUGAGAGGGUGACCGGUCACACUGGGACUGAGAUACGGCCCAGACUCCUACGGGAGGCAGCAGUGGGGAAUAUUGCACAAUGGGCGCAAGCCUGAUGCAGCGACGCCGCGUGAGGGAUGACGGCCUUCGGGUUGUAAACCUCUUUCAGCUAUGACGAAGCGCAAGUGACGGUAGUAGCAGAAGAAGGACCGGCCAACUACGUGCCAGCCGCCGCCGUAAUAC
rnacentral:rRNA from 1 species